GCCUGGGUGGCUCAGUCAGUUAGGCGUCUGGCUUCGGCUCAGGUCAUGAUCUCACAGUUCAUGGGUUCAAGUCCCGUGCCGGGCU
rnacentral:tRNA from 1 species